rnacentral:rRNA from 1 species
GAUGAACGCUGGCGGCGUGCCUAAUACAUGCAAGUCGAGCGAACAGACGAGGAGCUUGCUCCUCUGACGUUAGCGGCGGACGGGUGAGUAACACGUGGAUAACCUACCUAUAAGACUGGGAUAACUUCGGGAAACCGGAGCUAAUACCGGAUAAUAUAUUGAACCGCAUGGUUCAAUAGUGAAAGACGGUUUUGCUGUCACUUAUAGAUGGAUCCGCGCCGCAUUAGCUAGUUGGUAAGGUAACGGCUUACCAAGGCAACGAUGCGUAGCCGACCUGAGAGGGUGAUCGGCCACACUGGAACUGAGACAAGGUCCAGACUCCUACGGGAGGCAGCAGUAGGGAAUCUUCCGCAAUGGGCGAAAGCCUGACGGAGCAACGCCGCGUGAGUGAUGAAGGUCUUCGGAUCGUAAAACUCUGUUAUUAGGGAAGAACAAAUGUGUAAGUAACUAUGCACGCCUUGACGGUACCUAAUCAGAAAGCCACGGCUAACUACGUG